CCAUUUAAAGGGUUUCAGUGCAGCUUGCUAUGGGAACACUGGAGAGUAACACAAAUGGCCAAUUGUCCUAAUAGCCACCAUGGAUUGGAUGGAUGCUAACAACAGGCUCACAGUUCUCCUUCUGUUGCCUCCUUUUAUCCACAUGAGAAUCAAACAAAACCACGGUCAGUGACCAAGGCCCUGCUUAGAACUUUCUGAAGGUUGCAGCUGGCCUUCUACCUGGAGUUUUGACUUCCUUUCCGAGAAAGGAACUUGAAUGGCAAUCACAAGAAAGUUGAGAACUUCUCUUUCAUAUUUUAAGCAUUCAUUUUUUUUUAUAUUUAUUUUAAUUUACAAAUACUAAUUGUAUAUAUGUAUAAGGUAAGAUAUGAUAGUUUGAUAUGGCUACCUUGUAAUAAAAUGAGCCUCAUUACCAA
rnacentral:lncRNA from 1 species